rnacentral:rRNA from 1 species
UACGAAGGGGGCUAGCGUUGUUCGGAAUUACUGGGCGUAAAGCGCACGUAGGCGGCCUAUUAAGUCAGGGGUGAAAUCCCGGGGCUCAACCCCGGAACUGCCUUUGAUACUGGUAGUCUCGAGUCCGGAAGAGGUGAGUGGAAUUCCGAGUGUAGAGGUGAAAUUCGUAGAUAUUCGCAAGAACACCAGUGGCGAAGGCGGCUCACUGGCCCGAUACUGACGCUGAGGCACGAAAGCGUGGGGAGCAAACAGG